CCCGGUCGUUAUUGAAAUUCUUGACAAUGUUGAUAUUUGUAUAUUCCGAAGGCAUACUGAAUGUUUUACGGAGGGGACCAAUCUACGAUACUACAGACUUGUCAAUACAUUCACUAAAUUUUUAUCAUCGGUACAAGGACGUCAUCUGUAAAUAUAAAUCGACGUCCAAACUCUUAUACACAUCCAACCUUUUAUGAUGAUAUUCUAUACAGAG
rnacentral:lncRNA from 1 species